AUAUAUAUUUAUCUAGUCAUAAAUGUACUAGCAUUUUUAAAUGCACUAAUAUUUUGAAACAUGUGAGUGAAUCAAGUAAUAGACUGGAACAAAGCAUAUUAUUAUCAGUUCUGCAUUCAGAGUCAGUUUGAAGUUAAGCAGACAAGUAAAUUUGAACUCAGAAAAAUAGAUUUCUAGCCCUGUAUAUUUACUUCACAGCCACUUUUUUACGGUUUGGUAAUACUUUGUUAUGGCGGGAGAGCAACCUCUAUUAAUCUGAAAGUACAAUGUAAGCUCCCUUUCUUCAGGCAUAAUUCUUCUUUGCCUGCAUAUUUGUAUCUUCCCUACCUUUGAUUUAGAAACUCUUAUUCAUCUCAGUACAGGUGGAUAUCAAAGUCUACUUUUUCUUCCGAUUAGAAUCUAUUGGCAAUUGCUCAGACAUACCGGUGCCACAGAUAAAAAGAGAUUCAGAUAUUUUGUAGGGUGCUUGGUUCCUUGUGCAAAGAUGUUACAGCCUUUAAGCUGUGCAGGUGGUCAGGCUGCCGGAGCUUCCCUCAGCCCCCUUCCUACAGAGUUGUCUUCUCUUGAAGGGAACUUGGAGGAAGACUCUUAUCUUAGAUGGCCUGACAUCAUCUUGUGCAAUCUCUUUUCUCAAAGCUGCUGAAUUCUCACUCGUACCUCUGAGGCACUGACUGUGCCGUCCAUUUAAAGAAUUUAUUUAUCCGUUUUUCAUAGAAUCACACAUUAUCCUGAACUGAAAGGUACCCAUAAGGAUCAUCUAGUCCAAGUCCUGACUCCGUGCAGGAUCACCCAAAAUUCAAACCACAUUCCUGAGAGUGCUGUCCUAUCUAUUUACUAUAAUAGGAACAAUUUCAUUCUGGACUAGUAUGCUUCAGGCUCCAGAUAUCAACAUCCAAAACAAGUCAAAGCUGUCUAUGCUUCACAUGGCACAAGAACUUUUACUCCUUCCCUAAAGAAAACAUUCUUGUUGAAUAGGAAAUGAUACACUGGAUCAUACAAAUGGUCCACCUACACAAUGUACACUGCCUGCACCGGCUAGAAUCUGAUAUGACCAGGAAAAAUGUUGAAACUACACUAUAAUCAAGUGGAAAUCCUCCUGGAGGACUUACUUUUGUUUUUAAGAACAAAAUAAUGUCCCUUGCUUCAGUUAGGGGAAAAGCUGAUUGGCUUUUAUUUGAUGUUGGAACAGGACUGAUACAUUGAUACAAAGAUACUCAGAAAAGUGAGUUUAUAAUAUCCACAUUGAUUUAAAAGAAGCCUAAAAUUAAGGCUGUGUAAGCACCAUGGCAGGUUUCUGUUUCUAUUUAUUUGUUUUUCCACAUUAAACAACAAAUUCUUAUGCCAAGAGCCAAAGAGCAAAAUUUUACAUUCACUGAAACCAAAUACAUUUUAGAAGAAUAAAUUAUAGAAUUGGCUUUUGUUUCUAAAGUCUCUAUCAUUUUAUUCAGCAAAGGAAUUGAGAAGAUGACAUGAUCAGCAGGUAAGAAAAGCAUCUGUGGAGAUGGUGGUUGUUAUUACUGCUGGGUGAACAUGAUACUUAUGGAACAUGUAAGAAGCUUUCUGAUCUCACACUUCAAGAUUCAUGAUGUGCAAACACUUCUGGGACUCCCAUUGAUUUAACUGGAUCUUGAAUAUUGACAUAAUAAACCAGUACUAAAAAUGCUAAAAGUUCUGCUUGUGGAUAGCCUGGACACUCAGUGCUGCUUGCCUUAGGCCCAUGGUUAAUUUUUAACAACGUGGACACAAACCAAUGACCUGUGCUAUUGCUCAGGAAUGUCUGACCACUCACCGACUCCCAGUUUCAACAGAACGGCCACUAUACUGGAACUUACUGGUACUUAAGGACGCACCCAGUUCAAACUACACCCUCCUGUUACUGGGAUGAAAGGAAUAUUGUUACUUUGGAGUGAAAGCACACUGAGAUAUGUGAAAAGUUUGCUGAAGUUAAAAAUGAAAUGGGUUCCAGUUGUUAUUUCUUAUUACUUUUAUAAAACUGUUUUAAUAAAGAUGGAACAUUUAGACUGAAUGCAGCAAAAUGAUUACUUUAGCUUAAAAGAACAACACAAGGAAAAAUAUAUAAGUAAAUUAGGACAGUUGUUGUAGAAAUAUGAUUAAGAUCUGUACAAGUAAUAAUACGACUGAAAAAAAAAAAAAGAUGUUCUACUGAUUUUAAUUUAUUUGUGCAUAGCAAUUUGUAAUUAAAACAAAUCCUAUUUGCUGCUUAUUUACAACUUUAUCAUAACAGGACCAUAGAGCUGAAUUGUAUUAGGUGAUUUUUAUGUUUUUUUUUCUUUCUGCUUCUGUGUACACACCUAAAUCAUGAAGGGAAGAUGAGAGCACUAGCAAAAUCCAAACACUUUAUUCAAAACAAAAAAUGUAAUUGUUCAGAAAUAGGCUAUUGACUUUCACUGGGUUAAACAGCUCAUGUAGUGAUUAAGCUUGAAGCUAUAAUUGUUCUUGUCACCCAAACUCUGCUCAGUCAAUAUCUUUUUAUCAUAUACAUUUUUAAUCACAUAUUAAUAAACAAGAAGGUGUGCUUUAUUGAUGCCUGGAUUAGUUUAUUGACCAACUCAACAACUCUAUGUAUGGUUUCUGAACACAGAAACAAGGUCAGUGUGUGAAGAUGAGGAAUAGUACAUUCACCAUCUUUAAUAUACUUCAUUCUAGCAGUCCUCUUGUAAGGUGUUGCAAUCUCUACAGUUUCUCCAAUUUUUUAAAAUAAAUUAUUUCAUAUUUGAAACUGCUUCAAAGUUAAAGCACAUUUUGGGUUGAGCUUUAAGAAAUAUAACCACGAGUUUCUUUAAUACAACAUGAUUUUGACACCUUGACACUAAAUUAUUUGGAAACGUUUGGGAAAUCAAACUUUCAUGUACUCGUAGAUUCUUACAAAAUAUUGUUUAUUCACUUAUAUUUCUGAAAGCAUCUACGCUUUUCAGAUUCUCCUAACAACUAACUCUGCUCAAACUUCUUAUUCAUUCCUUUCUUUUCUCUAUGAAGUGCUACUGUGAACAUUCCAUAACAGUAACUCAGAUUUGGAAAGAAGGCCUCUAAAACAACUAUAUAAAAUUAACAAUUAAGACAGUAAUAGAACAUGACAGUAUUUUUGUGUGUUCCUUCUCGUCAGACAAAAGCUGCGUAUAGGAACUCACAUUUCCUUUUUUUUUUCCAACUCGUUUUUCAAAAGGAUUAGAGAUAGAUCUUUUCAUCAGUAUUUGCACAAAAUACUGUUUUGCAAUAGGAAAGUAUUCAAUUGAAAAUGUUUUGAUGAUUCUGUCUGUCAGAUGCUCACGUGAUAUCCUAAAAGAAGAGUCGUUUGGAAACAGAGCUGACUGCAGCAUGUGUGAAAGUACACAUCAGCCAGACACAAAGAUGAAGUCUGCUUCCAACCUGAAGCUCACAGCCUCUAAAUCCAGCUCAAAGCUCUUCUCCUUAAGCAUGAACACGAAGAACAGCUGGAUAGGCUUAAGUGAGGCAGAAGGAUUUUUUGACAGUCAGGAUCAUUUAAACUACAACCGCUGUGACAACGUGAACAAUUCAUGAUAUUUCUGCUGUAUCCACUCAGUUUGGGGAAGCUGCAGAGAGACCCUAGUGCUGCUACCUUCACCUGGGGCCUUUCAGAACCAGCUCCAUUCAGGGCCAGGCUGUCAGAGACAGCAUCCCAGUAGAGAAGGAAAGGAAAACUGCAUCUAUUCUCCCACAAGGAGGCUUUGCAACUGAGACUCACUGACUCCUUGUUACCGCGUGCUGCUCUCCUUGUGAUUAUACAGGGAAUUCUGUAUCUUUAGGAGAGAUCAGGCCUGGUGAACUAGAACAACACUGCAUGAUUGUGCACACUUUCAAAAUCGAUGUGAAAGUUGCCUACAAGCAGCGGAGUUACUGGAGUCUUUGUUCAGGUAACAUUCUUUAAAAUGCUACGUUCUUUAAAAUGCAAAUGUCAACAUUGUCAUCAGAACAACAAAGACAUCCAACACCAAAGCUGAAUGAUCUAAAAUAAGCGAGAAACACUGGGAGUCAAACACUUAGCUGCUGUGAAGGAGCAGAGAAAUACAGUAUGAAAU